rnacentral:lncRNA from 1 species
ACCAAGUCGGCACAAACCUUCUCCAGAGACUUCGCAUUGUCACUGGGAAGCUUGAUUUAAAUUCAGUGAACUUUGGGCUCCAAGGGGGUCGUUCCCAGUGUGUUUAAAUGCUGUGCAUGGCUGAGGUGCAGCUUCCGGACUGACAGGUUCCUGACUAAGCAGGAUGGAGCAGCAGGGGGUCAGGGUGGAGCAGACUGAACGGAGUUCCGCCUCGCGCACCACCACAUCUCAGAAAGUGGUUUAUAACUUUUCAUAUAAAUACUGAUGCUGUUGAUAGUUGUGUUGGUUCCAGAUUUAAUGGAAGGUGCACGGUGCGCUGCUUCGCACCCUGAGGCCGAGUUGCUGCAGCGCCAGGUAUGGAGAGACUGCUUUUCGAAAUGGAACAGAAGAACUGAGCAUACAAAAAGAAAAAGGCCCUCCUGCCUGCCUCGGAGACCGGGGGAUCAGGUCACCUCUGACGCCCUGAGUCUGGGGGCCUCCCCACCUCCACUGCCCUUCUGAAGUCGAUUCCUCCAGAAGGAGCCUAGCUAGGACAGCCCCAGAUGGGGGCAAACAGGGAGCGGGAUGCUCAGAGUCCCCUUCUCAAAGCCCCCCUCCCAGUCAUUUUAAAAGAUAAAAGUUUUAAAGUUGCCCCCUUAGACACAAAGUUUAGAGCAGAAAAAAAAAAAACAGGUUAGGCCCCAGAAUUGUAUGUUCCAAGAAGCCUCUCCUAGGGCUAUAGAAUGGAUAAUUACAUUGGCCAGCUCAACAGCUUUCUCCCAGAAACUAGCUGACCAUAAAUCUUAGAGAACAAUCGAGAAACAAGAAACAACUUCUCCUAGGAACUAGCGGACCAUGAAGUUGAACAAUCUGAGAAGUAAGAGACAGCUUCUCCUAGGAAACAAUUUUGGGGGACAGAGAGUUCUUCCUUGUGAUUUUUCACUGUUAUUCUACACACUUUCCAAUGACGCCAUCCCUGCCCCCUCGGGUUGUGGUUUCUCCCUUUAAAUGCCUCUUCUCCCAGCCUCUCAGGGUCGAACUCCACUGCCCCUGCGUGGGAUACAAGUCUCAACCCCAGUGCACUGGUUGCUAUCGAUAAACCUCAUGUGAUUACAACAAGGGCAGUCUUGUGUGAGUUCUUGGGGGGUUGCGUCAUCCCGAGACUUGAGUGAGGGUCUCCCCACUCCGGGGGUCUUUCAAUUUUAGGAACAAUAAAUACUGCGUGACAGUAGCAGGAAGGGCGUCCAUGGGCUGUAUGUGUGGCAGCCCAAGCAGGCUGGCCAGGUGCCUGCCCUCUUUCUGUGCGUAGGAUGAUAUGGAUGCCUGAAUCGGUGAACACCCGCCCACUCAUCUCCCUGGUUCGUAGAGCAAACGAUGCAUCCUCAAAUGGUUUCUGCAUCUGACCUCUGCUGAGGGCACCCAGGUCUCCCCUAGCUUUGGCAGAGCUGCAAUCACUGAACUGUGAGGCCAGAGAUUCAAAGUCCUCCUCUCCUGACUUAAUCUUCUGGCUGUAGCCAUUGAUCAGCUCCAAGGCCUCCUCUUUGCUCCUGGUGAUCUUUUCCUGUCGCCAGGAUGAGGGCCUCCGAGAUUGGCUUCACCAGGUGUGAGCAGCGCACCCUGGCAGGCUCACCCUGGCCAUUCUUGCUGUCGCCUCCAACAGUGCUGCCCCCGCUGGGCCGCUCCCACUGGCUGGCGUUGGUGAUGUGAUUCAAGUAGUAGACACGGCCUGAGCUGCCACACCCGGGCGGCAGCUUCUCUUCAUCCGCCAUCUUCCCUCCUGCUGCAGCACCUCUUAACACUUAUUCUUAAACUUGUUUGUGUGUGAGGUGUGUGGUGUGGUGUGUGUGUGUGUGUGUGUGUGUGUGUGUGUGUGUAUGAUGUGGCUGCAUAUGUGUAGAUAAGCAUGCAUGUGUGUGGGGUGCAUGAGAAAAAUUCACAUUGGUGUCUUCUUCCACUGCCCCCUACAUUAUAGAUUGAAGCAAGGUGUCUUGUCCUAUCUGGACCUCACCAACUCUGGCUAAUUUAACC